CAGUCGCCACGGGAAUACGGAGGGUGCAAGCGUUAUCCGGAUUUAUUGGGUUUAAAGGGUCCGUAGGCGGACUUAUAAGUCAGUGGUGAAAGCCUGUCGCUUAACGAUAGAACUGCCAUUGAUACUGUAAGUCUUGAGUAUAUUUGAGGUAGCUGGAAUAAGUAGUGUAGCGGUGAAAUGCAUAGAUAUUACUUAGAACACCAAUUGCGAAGGCAGGUUACCAAGAUAUAACUGACGCUGAGGGACGAAAGCGUGGGUAGCGAACAGGAUUAGAGACCCGAGUAGUCCCUGUCUCUUAUAC
rnacentral:rRNA from 1 species